rnacentral:rRNA from 1 species
UACGUAGGGGGCUAGCGUUGUCCGGAAUCAUUGGGCGUAAAGAGCUCGUAGGCGGCUUGGCAAGUCGGGUGUGAAACCUCCAGGCUCAACCUGGAGGCGCCACUCGAUACUGCCAUGGCUAGAGUCCGGUAGGGGACCACGGAAUUCCUGGUGUAGCGGUGAAAUGCGCAGAUAUCAGGAGGAACACCGGUGGCGAAGGCGGUGGUCUGGGCCGGCACUGACGCUGAGGAGCGAAAGCGUGGGUAGCAAACAGG